GAUGGUGCUAGUCUGCCUCAAGUAGGUGAAAGGGUUUGCAGUGAGCUGUCAGCAUCCCAAGUUCUUCAUCAGGAAGAACAUGAAACCAUCCUGGGACCUCCAUCAUCAGUCUGUGCUUGCAUUUUUAAAGCUCUUGCUAUCAUCUGGCUCUUAUACCACUCCUUUUCACCACCAAGAAUGUUACUAUGUGUGUCUUCAUCAUGCAGCAGAGCUCAUAGCAAACACCUCCAAGAUAACUAUCAUUCAGAAGACCCACAUGGAUCAACUUCUCAAUAAGGCUUAUAAAAUUCUGCUCCACAGCCAUGUGAACACAGCAGAAAGACCAGAAAACUUCUGCUUUACGUUUAUUUCAAGAGAUUGUAUCUGUCAAGUCAUACCACAGCUUCAGACUUACAGUGAAAAAAAAGUCUCUGCUCCAACUUAUUUCAUCAGUUUCCUAUUCUUCAUGAAGUUUCUGCAAUACUAGGAGACACAAAAAAAAAGGUCACUUUUAUCUCAUAAUACCAGCAAUAUUACUAUAAAUUCAUCAUUUAUCUGUACAUUUUACAAAAAAAAAAAAAAAAUUGCAAUGGGAACAUCAGUCUGUUCCUUUUCCAAACCCAAGGUUUCAUUCAGCAGACAAAGGACUUUCUACUGCUGGCUGUCACUGUGCUAAUCCCUUCCUAGAAUGUUCAAAACCUGGCUACCUGGGGUCCUUGUUACUUAGGUUUAGCUCUCUUCCAUUCUAAAUAGUUUCUUGUAUAACCUGGAAUCACAGAAUCAUAGAAUGGCCUGGGAUGAAAAGGAUUACAAUGAUUAUCGAGUUUCAACCCCCCCUUGCCAUGGGCAGGCUGUCCAGAGCCACAUCCAGCCUGGCCUUGAAUACCUCCAGGGAUGGGGCUUUCACAACCUCCUUGGGCAAUCUGUUCCAGUGUGUCACCGCCCUCCGUGUGAAAAACUUCCUCCUAAUAUCUCCCCUGUCUCAGUUUAAAAUCAUUCUCCACUAUCCUAUCACUAUCCACCCUUGUGAACAUUUCUCCCCCCCCCCCCCCCCCCCCCCAUAUACCCCCAUAUAUACACUCCCUUCAAGUACUGGAAGGCCACAAUGAGAUCUCUCCAGAGCCUUCUCUUCUCCAAGAUGAACAAGCCCAGCUCCCUCAAUCUUUCCUCAUAGGAGAGGGGCUCCAGCCCUCUGAUCACCUUAGCAGCCCUCCUCUGGACGUGCUCCAAAAGUUCCACAUCUUUCUUGUGCUGGGGGCCCCAGGCCUGGACACAGUACUCAGAUGGGGCCUCACAAGAGCUGAGCAGAGGGGGACAAUCACCUCCCUCUCCUGGCCACUCUGCUUUUAAUGCAUCCCAGAACACAGUUGGUUUUCUGAGCUGCAAGUGCACUGCUGGCUCAUGUUAUCUGUUACCUUUGCUGAGAGUGCACUCAAUGCCAUUGUCUAUAGGAAAUUCAGAGUAGGAGGUUUCAGAGAAUCACAGAAUGGCUUAGAUUGGAAGGGACCCCAUGGACCAUCAGGUUCCAACCCCCCUGCCACAGGCAGAGCCACAAACCUCCAGAUCUGGUGCUAGACCAGGUUGCCCAGGGCCCCAUCCAACCUGGUCUUGAACACCUUCAGUGAUGGAGCAUCCACAACUUCUCUGAGCAGCCUGUGCCAGCAGCUCACCACUCUCUCUGUAAAGAACAUGACAUCAAACCUUAACUUUCCCUCCUUGAGAUUAACACCAUUCUCCCUUGUCCUAUCACUGUCAACCUGAGUAAAAAGUUGACUCUCCUCCUUUUUGUAAUCCCCUUUUAAAUACUGGAAGGCUGCAAUGAGGUCUACUCACAACCUUCUCUUCUUCAGGCUGAACAAGACCAGCUCAUUCAGCCUGUCUUCGUUAGGGAGAUGCUCCAGCUCUUCGAUCUUCAUGGCCCUCCUCUGGACCUUCUUAAAGAGCUCCUCAACUUUCCUGCAUUGUGGGCCUCAGACCUGGAUGCAGUACUCCAGAUGGGCCUCACGAGGGCAGAGCAGAGAGGGACAAUCACCUCCCUGGAGGAAGCAGAUAUGCUAGAAUGCACCAUUCUUUUACGUAUUAAUUCAUUAUUCUAUUUCCUAGUUUCAGAUUGAAAAUAAAACAAAGAAAGAAAAUCA
ensembl:lncRNA